CUUAAUGCUGAACCUGAACAGCAGGUGUUUAACAAGGAGCAAAUCAUUAAUGGGAAUCAUAUAAGUGUAACAAAUAAAGAAUGUGAUGAAAUAAAAGUUGCAAAGACUCAAGUAAGUGAAGCACUGGAAACAAAGAAAGGUAUGGAAAAGGUGGCUGCAUCUAGGACUAAAGUGAUUCAGAUGGCAGAUGUAAUUGUAGAAACAUUUCCAUUACAGCCUG
rnacentral:misc_RNA from 1 species